GGCAGGGGCUUGCGUCCAGGCUUUCGGUACGCUGAAUAGCUAACAGCGUCAGACAUAUCCAUGAGAGGUAUGGAACCGUUACGGGAUGCGCAUUGAGCAAACCAUAAUGAUGCAAGCC
rnacentral:sRNA from 12 species